GAGCCGGUGGCUGCCCAGCUGCUCAGGGAGCGCUGGGCCCACUCCCAAAAUGGCGAAAAUGGACCAUCGUGCGUAGCCACGCCCACUCGGCCGUAGCCACGUCCCUCACACCCGAGGCCACACACCCUUUUCAGGACGCGCACGGCUACGACGCGCCGAGUGUCCCGACUUGGAAAGAUUAAAAGUUGGGAGUGUGUGUAUCUAGUGUGAGAAUGGGACGCAGGAAGUAACAGCAGCGCAGUGAUCUCACGGCGAUCUCACCCUUUGCCUCCUUAAAGCCCCCGGCUGUGUUCUAGAACUGUCAGCUUUGCAGCCUCUGGACUUGUCCCGUAUUUCAUUUAAUUGUUCUCUAGACUGCUGCAAACACAGGGCUGGCUGGUGAAUUCCAAAGGUUCGUCCUGGCCCUGAGCACGAGUUACUCUAGGUGUUAAACCUCGACCGAAGUGUUCUUCUAAUCUACCGCCCCUUUGGAGUAUGAGUGUGGCACAGCUGCGAUUAAACUUAUAUACUUUACAUCAACGGAAGGCAACCACUUUCAAGACAAAUAAUUUAUUGAACUGGAUCCGUGAACACCGUUGUCCUCUAUACCAUGGACACUGGAAAGGUCUAGAUAAAGGUCACACAUCAGGGGCACAUCAGCGAUAUAUGAAAACACUAGAUAAUAUACAGGUCACAGUAAGUGGGAAACAUCAUUCUGACGGCGCAAUUCAUGUCACUGUCACUAUGAAUAAAAGACAGGGAUAAUUAUAUGCAGUCUGACAGCCCCUUCAUAUAUUUUGAAAACUCUCUCUUCUAAUUAUGUACAAAGGAUUCUGGUGUGAAAACAUGUAUUUCAGAGACUAAAUAACAACUGAUUAAA